rnacentral:rRNA from 1 species
AUAAGCGGAGGAAAAGAAACCAACAGGGAUUGCCUCAGUAACGGCGAGUGAAGCGGCAAAAGCUCAAAUUUUAAAGCUGACAUCUUCGGUGUUCGCGUUGUAAUUUUGUGAGGCAUCUCCGGGUAGGGCGCCGGCCUAAGUUCCUUGGAACAGGACGUCACAGAGGGUGAGAAUCCCGUGCUUGGCUGGCUGUCCCCGUCCAUGUGAGGUGUCUUCGACGAGUCGAGUUGUUUGGGAAUGCAGCUCAAAAUGGGUGGUAAAUUUCAUCUAAAGCUAAAUAUUGGUGGGAGACCGAUAGCGCACAAGUAGAGUGAUCGAAAGAUGAAAAGCACUUUGAAAAUAGAGUUAAAAAGUACGUGAAAUUGUUGAAAGGGAAGCGCUUGAGACCAGACUUCGGUAAGGGGUGAUCAGCCGUCCUUCUGGGCGGUGCACUUGCCCCCCUCCGGGCCAGCAUCGGUUGAGGCGGUGGGAUAAAGGUCCCGGGAAUGUGGCUCCUUCACGGGAGUGUUAUAGCCCGGGUGAAUGCCGCCAGCUUCGACCGAGGACCGCACCCGCAAGGGUUAGGAUGCUUGGCAUAAUGGUCUUCAGCGACCCGUCUUGAAACACGGACCAAGGAGUCUAACAUCUAUGCGAGUGUUUGGGUGUCAAACCCUUGCGCGAAAUGAAAGUGAACGGAGGUGGGAACCCGCAAGGGCGCACCAUCGACCGGUCCCGAAGUCUUCUGAAGGAUCUGAGUAGGAGCAUAGCUGUUGGGACCCGAAAGAUGGUGAACUAUGCCUGAAUAGGGUGAAGCCAGAGGAAACUCUGGUGGAGGCUCGCAGCGGUUCUGACGUGCAAAUCGAUCGUCAA